rnacentral:lncRNA from 10 species
CUACGCUGGGAAGAGAUGAGCUGAUGCCCAGCUCAGCUGCUCUUCUGAGUCUUCAAUUUCCAGACCAACCUCCCUUAAGGUGACUGACAGUGGGGACCUCAACCUCACCUACAGGGAUGUGGACUGAUCCCAUGGUCUCAGUGAGAGACCCAGGCAAUAUUUCUACAUGAAGCAUGUUGGAUUUCUGAAUUAUCCAGCCUCAAAUGACACCGGGAUGGGACAGUGUUAACCCAGAUAAGAAAACUGAGGCUCUGAGAAGUUGAGGGACUUGGUCAAGGCCACAUGUCAGUGAGUGCCAGAAGUUUCUGCUACUCCUACAAAAUCAGAAGUUCCCCAAAUCCAAACCAUCUCGACCUACCCCUGUGACCCGCCAAAAGAAGCUGGCCUUCCCCAUCCUCCUGUCUCCGCAGUGCCAUUUGCCUUUCAGUCUCCUAAAAAGAAGCACUUACUCUCUUCCCCAAAUCGCAGAGGGAAGCUUCAAAUACACUUCUAAUCAUCCUCAGUACCCAGCAGUAUAUAGGAAGUUAUUGUCCCAAAGUUGUGUGUCAUGCCCGAAGUGUCUGGGAUCCCCGAGUGCCUGUGGUGCCCAAGAGCUAUGAAUCUGCUAUCAUCAACACAGAGGGUACCUUCUGAAUGGGCUAUGUCUACAGUGAUGCUGCAAAUGGAAGCUAACCCUAGGAUGACUGGCCUCUGACACUUGAGCCAUCCCAUCAUCUGUCAUGGGUUGACCCAUCCAUCCCCUCAAUGAGCCUGACCUUCAGGACCACUGACAGAGGAGCAGUCAAUAGAAAUUAAUUGUUAAAUACCCAGAAAAUCUGAAAUGGUAUUUAAUAUGCAGUUCAUCAAGAGCAAAAGUUCCUUAAAUCUUCAUCUAGAAAAGUUAUUUAUAAGGGAUGAAUAUGUUGUAUGAAUAUGUUGUAUGCAAAUAUUAUAUUCAAGGGCA